UGAAAAGAAAGGAGGAAAUAAAGGACAUCGCAAAGAUAUCCUAGAAUCAACGUAGCUGACAAUAUGGACAAAUUGAGAGAGGAAGGAGGUCUAGGAGAGGCAUCGGGCGCCGGCGAAACAUCCUAAGAAUCAACAUAGCUUGCAGUUUAUUCCAUCGUUGCGCAUCGAUUGGUGAAUAAUUAAUAAAACUAUUAUUUUAUUUCGAAGUAAUUGUUUUGUAGA